AGGCAGCAGUGAGGAAUUUUAGAUAAUGGAGGCAACUCUGAUCUAGCGACGCCGCGUGCAGGAAGAAGGUCUUCGGAUUGUAAACUGCUGUGGUAAGGGAAAAAUGCCAUGUAGAGUGGAAAGUUACAUGGAGGGAUGGUACCUUACUAGAAAGCCCCGGCUAACUACGUGCCAGCAGCCGCGGUAAUACGUAGGGGGCUAGCGUUACCCGGAAUCACUGGGCGUAAAGGGAGCGUAGGUGGCCUGACAUGUCAACUGUGAAAACCCGGAGCUCAACUCCGGACUUGCAGUUGAAACUGCCAGGCUUGAGGACGGUAGAGGAAGACGGAACUGCCAGUGUAGGGGUAAAAUCCUUAGAUAUUGGCAGGAACGCCGGUGACGAAGGUGGUCUUCUGGGCCGGAUCUGACACUGAGGCUCGAAAGCCAGGGGAGCGAACAGGAUUAGAUACCCUGGUAG
rnacentral:rRNA from 1 species